rnacentral:lncRNA from 1 species
CUGAGCGCGUGAUGAUUUAAAUAUUGAUGUUGAGACUUCAUCUAUGAAAUCUUAUCAUAAUCGAGCUUUUUAAAACUGAUGCUCAGUAAUCGCCUGUCUGAUUUUCCUUGAUGUCGGCUUCUGUCUUUUCCAUACUCUCUUUGAUGUUAUCUGGGUGGAUGUGAGGCAGAGUUCUCCCCCUCCUAUGGCAUUGGGAUCACCUGAGCACGUGAUGAUUAAAAUAUUGAUAUUGAGACUUGAUCUAUGAAAUCUUAUCAUAAUCGAGCUUUUUAAAGCUGAUGCUCAGUAACCUUCUCUCUAAUUUUCCUUGACGUCUGCUUACAUCUUUUCCGUGCUCUCUUUUGGUUUUAUCUGGGCGUAUGUGAAGCAGAUCCCCCUCACCCCCAUGGCAUUGACCUCAACUGAGCACGUGAUGAUCAAUAUAUUGAUGUUGAGACUCAUCUAUGAAAUCUUAUCAUAAUCGAGCUUUUUAAAACUGAUGCUCAGUAAUCUCCUGCCUGAUUUCUCUGGAUGUCUGCCUAUGUCUUUUGUUUUUAUCUGGGUGGAUCUGGGGCAGAGUUCCCCACCCCCCUAUGGCAUUGACCUCACCUGAGCAUGUGAUGAUUAAUAUAUUGAUGUUGAGGCUUCAUCUAUGAAAUCUUAUCAUAAUCGAGCUUUUUAAAACUGAUGCUCAGUAAACUUACGCCUUUUCCUUACUUUCUUUUGAUGUUAUCUGGGCGAAUGUGAGGUAGAGUCCCCACCCUAUGGGUCUGGGAUCACCUGAGCACGUGAUGAUUGAUAUCUUGAUGUGGAGACUUGAUCUGUGAAAUCUUAUCAUAAUCGAGCUUUUUAAAACUGAUGCUCAGGAACUUGCUGCGUUUGCCUUCUUCAUGCCUUCUUUCUUUUUAAUGUUCUCUUUCUGGCUCCAUCUUCGGGGAUGAGAGUUCAUCUGAGCACGUGAUGAUUUUUUGCAUACCGAUAUUGAGAUUUCGUCGAUGAAAUCAUAUCAAAAUCGAGCUUUUUAAACCUGAUGCUCAGUGGGAACCUCCUCAUAUCCAUGAAGAACAGUGAUCUGUAGUCUCUCUCCACCACGAAUCCUCCAGCGGCCAUCAUAAUUUCUGAUAAAUUCAAAAUUCCCGGAGUAGGC